rnacentral:tRNA from 1 species
CGAGUGUCGUAUAGUGUCGUAUAGAAAUUUGCGAAGCCUUGCAAAUAAAGGCUUGCGAGACUCACACACUUGACUUUUAAUCAAGUUGUCUCGGGUUCGAGUCCCGAGUGGCUCAG